rnacentral:rRNA from 1 species
UACGGGGGGGGUAAGCGUUGUUCGGAAUUACUGGGCGUAAAGGGCGCGUAGGCGGUUCGAUAAGUCAGCUGUGAAAACCAUGGGCUUAACUCAUGGCCUGCAGUUGAGACUGUCGGGCUGGAGUGUGGGAGAGGGAGAGUGGAAUUCCUGGUGUAGCGGUGAAAUGCGCAGAUAUCAGGAGGAACACCAGCGGCGAAGGCGGCGCUCUGGGCUGGAACUGACGCUGAGACGCGAAAGCGUGGGGAGCGAACAGG